AACCCGACUCCAUGAAGCUGGAUUCGCUAGUAAUCGCGCAUCAGCCACGGCGCGGUGAAUACGUUCCCGGGCCUUGUACACACCGCCCGUCAAGCCAUGGAAGCCGGGAGUGCCUGAAGUGCGUGAGCGCAAGCAGCGCCCUAAGGUAAAACCGGUGACUGGGGCUAAGUCGUAACAAGGUAGC
rnacentral:rRNA from 1 species